CGGCAGUGAACUGGAACCUGCUCAGGUAGAACUUAAUAACAGAGAGUCUGAGCUGCAGUAGAUGUCAUCUCUGCUCAUCUCGACUCUUCACUCCUCAUCAGACAUCUAUACCACCUGCUGUUCCAGACGACCGACUCCUGCCUGAACCGCUGCAGGUCACCCAACCAACCAGCCAACCAACCAGCCAACCAACCAACCAACAGUAAAGCAACAAAUAAGGAAAUAAUGAGG